CAGCCGCCACGGUAAUACAGAGGGUGCAAGCGUUAAUCGGAAUUACUGGGCGUAAAGCGCGCGUAGGUGGUUUGUUAAGUUGGAUGUGAAAGCCCCGGGCUCAACCUGGGAACUGCAUCCAAAACUGGCAAGCUAGAGUACGGUAGAGGGUGGUGGAAUUUCCUGUGUAGCGGUGAAAUGCGUAGAUAUAGGAAGGAACACCAGUGGCGAAGGCGACCACCUGGACUGAUACUGACACUGAGGUGCGAAAGCGUGGGGAGCAAACAGGAUUAGAUACCCCCGUAGUCCCUGUCUCUUAUAC
rnacentral:rRNA from 1 species